UACGGGGGGGGCAAGCGUUGUUCGGAAUUACUGGGCGUAAAGGGCUUGUAGGUGGCCAACUAAGUCAGACGUGAAAUCCCUCGGCUUAACCGGGGAACUGCGUCUGAUACUGGAUGGCUGGAGUGUGGGAGAGGGAUGCGGAAUUCCAGGUGUAGCGGUGAAAUGCGCAGAUAUCAGGAGGAACACCGGUGGCGAAGGCGGUGAUCUGGGCCGACACUGACGCUGUAGAGCGAAAGCGUGGGGAGCGAACAGG
rnacentral:rRNA from 1 species